GUCUCAGGAGGGUCUUCUGGAACACUGCAGACAAGCUGGAAUCACAUUCAUAGUUCUGGUGUCUGAUAAAAAUGGAUAUUACCUGAAGGUGAAAUCUUUUGAGAAAACAGUCGGUGAAGGGAAUUCCUGAGCCAGAUCUGGUCAAUCACUUAUCCAAAAGAGGACCAAACACUCUGAAUGGCACUUUGACCUUUCACACUGGAGAUAUCGGAGAGCGUUUCUCUACAGAAUCCAAACGCAUCAUUACUGGGAAAACUCUGGGAACUCAGUUUGGAAAAUAAGUGAUAUUAACUUAUAAAAUCAUCAAAGCCUCUGAAUAUUGAGCCACAAAGUGAUUCAACUGAGUGUAAUAUUUCACACCACUUUUGGCUUGAGUGCUGGUCAAAUUAGUCAUGGCAGAUAUUAAAUUAAAACCUUCUUGAGCGAAAAAUAAAUCUUACUAAAAAGUCUUGGUGAGCUCAGUUGUUUGAUGAAGCAUCAGAUGUUCAUUUUUUCGUGUUUGGCAGGUUUGUCUGAGUCACAAGAGAGCAACGCCACAAUGUCCAUGAACGUAAAUCUCAUGACACCUGAGAGAAUCUCUGCGAGUUCCCGCCGGAGUUACAAAA